rnacentral:misc_RNA from 1 species
AAAACAAAUCAGUCUCUUCUGUCAUUUAAAUCGCACGGUUUUUUAUUUAAAAAAUAGUAUUAAAUCUUUAUAUUUUUUGUUUACCAUAUGGUUUCACCGAUAUUUAUAUUCUAGUACUGAAAAUGUCAGUAACGAAUAGAAGGUUUAGGUUAGGAAAUCGCAGUUUCAUGAAUCGGAUUUUCUACACAAUUUAUUUUUAAAAAUAUCGUGGUUUCAAUGGUAAAUUGUCAAAACUAAUAGCAACCAAUUAUCAUUGUUAUUAUUGUUUAUAUUUUAUUAAUUAUACCUGUGAGCUUUUUUAUAUCAUUCGUAUUACACAUCAAUGUGGAUUUUAUCGUUACGAUUUUUCGUACAACUAAUAAUUGUGAUUUCAGAUUUAUCUCCUUGAGUUAGUUAUUUUAUCAUAACUAUGGGUUGUUCAUAUUAUACUGGGCAUCAAUUGAUCAUCAUGGAUACCUCCAAAGAAUUGGAAAAAUUCAUCAAAAAAAGUUUAAAACAGUUGCGUCGUACCAAAGAUCCGAGUUCCUUUAAAACAAUGUUAAAACGUAUGAAUGAAGUCGUUCAAGAACUGAACAGUGGAAAACGACGGCCAAAUAAUGCUACCAAAAUAUUUGAUGUACUUACCGUUCUCUUCUCAAAAGAAUUAGGUAGUGAACAAACAGAAAUGAUUGUUGAUGACAAAUUUAGCAAGUCGAAUUCUCCAGCAAGUUUAUUACCAAAUACGUCAAAUUGCAUACAAGAGGAGUAUUCAUACCAGUCGCCUACCAAUUCAUUGGAACAGGCUAAUUCAAAUUGAGCCAUAAAUAUUGAUUCAGAUUCGGAAAUUAAAAUUGAAGAUUUAUAUUCCUGUUGUAUUUGCAAUUAUGUAGAUAACACAAAAUGAUAGGCUUUGAAUAAAUAUUAAUUUUUUUUACAAAGAAAGUUUUGUAUAUAUUGGGAACAGUCUGAUACAAUGCUCGAAUUGUUAUUCUAUCUAUCAUGAAAAUUACCAAAUUCCACCAAUAACGGACGUUAUCUUGAAUGACCUACGAAUGGUUUAUUACUGUAGUAAUUGUGUACAGAGUGACUCGAGGAAAGUUAAAUGUUCAGCAGAAAAGGGAAGUAAGAAAAGGUCUUUUAAAAUCACUUCUGGAACAAAAUCAAAGAAAUCGUCUAGUAGACUUCUCAUAGUUAGUUAUUUAAAAUGAUAUUUUUUAAUUACAAUAUGUUAUUACUAGGGAACGGAUUUUAAUUUAAAUAAAUAUUUUUGUGUUGUUUUAAUAACCGAAAGUUAUUGAUAUAUGUGUACGUUUCAUUUCAUUU